AGUGAACGCUUGCGGCAGGCCUAACACAUGCAAGUCGAACGGCAGCACAGAGGAGCUUGCUCCUUGGGUGGCGAGUGGCGGACGGGUGAGGAAUGCGUCGGAAUCUGCCUUUUUGUGGGGGAUAACGUAGGGAAACUUACGCUAAUACCGCAUACGACCUACGGGUGAAAGUGGGGGACCGCAAGGCCUCACGCAGAAAGAUGAGCCGACGCCGGAUUAGCUAGUUGGCGGGGUAAAGGCCCACCAAGGCGACGAUCCGUAGCCGGUCUGAGAGGAUGAGCAGCCGCACGGGGACUGAGACACGGCCCAGACUCCGACGGGAGGCAGCAGUGGGGAAUAUUGGACAAUGGGCGCAAGCCUGAUCCAGCCAUGCCGCGUGUGUGAAGAAGGCCUUCGGGUUGUAAAGCACUUUUGUCCGGAAAGAAAUCCUUUCGAUUAAUACUCGGGAGGGAUGACGGUACCGGAAGAAUAAGCACCGGCUAACUUCGUGCCAGCCGCCGCGGUAA
rnacentral:rRNA from 1 species